GGUCCGCUAGCUCAAUCGGCAGAGCGUCGUGCUAAUAACGCGAAGGUCGUGAGUUCGAUCCUCACGUGGACCA
rfam:Strongylocentrotus purpuratus Contig140638_fixed, whole genome shotgun sequence.